UAGGGGUCUGUGGUACCGUAUCACAGUGAAGUUGGGUGUGUAGAGUAAGAGAAAAUCUUAUAUAACACCAGAUUGGGAAAAGACAAGACUUUCUGCAUGUUCCCAUUUUUAGGCUUGCAGCAGAAGCAGCAAACUCUGGGCUAAAGAAUAAAUUGCUGUGACAACGUAAUUCUGUUAAUCAAUUAGACAAUUCAGGAGAAAAAAAUAAAAACCGGUGAUUACUGAAAGCUGACAAUGAGUUGCCUGCAGAGGAAGACAUAAAAGCAAACAAACAAUCCCGCCUGCCAAUUUAGCCUGGAGGGAAGACUCACAUUCUCCUCUGACCCCAAAUCUAAGUAGCAGUUGAACUUCGAGCACAGCAGCAAGUCCCAUCAACCAGCUGCUUUCCAUUCCACACAGGAUUUCACUGUCCAGCCUCCAGCCUGAGAGAUGUGAGGAUGUGCUUCCAGCAGUCGUUCAUCAAUUUUUCUACUCUGCUGCAGGGAUGCACAACAGGCAUGAGUUGUUGAAGAACAGAGCUCCAGCAGUGAGACAAGAUUUCCUGUGGAUUUGGAAAAAAAUUGGAGCCUUUUCCAUCUUUCCUAGAAUAAAAUCAGAUCAGACGCACACCAGUAUUACAUUAUAGUGCAUAUAUAGCAGACUUUGCAUAUAUAUCACGUAGAACUGUAUCCACGAAUCUCAGUUUUUACCAUUGCAUUCCUAUGAUUUUCUAUGAAUAUUAAACUGCUGUCAAGGUCCAAGG